rnacentral:rRNA from 1 species
GAUGAACGCUAGCGAUAGGCUUAACACAUGCAAGUCGAGGGGCAGCACAAGGUAGCUUGCUAUCUGGGUGGCGACCGGCGCACGGGUGCGUAACGCGUAUGCAACUUGCCCUAUACAGGAGGAUAACCCGUCGAAAGACGGACUAAUACUGCGUAUGCUCACAACUUGGCAUCAAGUGGUGAGGAAAGAAAUUCGGUAUAGGAUAGGCAUGCGUCCCAUUAGCUUGUUGGUGAGGUAACGGCUCACCAAGGCAACGAUGGGUAGGGGAACUGAGAGGUUUAUCCCCCACGCUGGUACUGAGACACGGACCAGACGCCUACGGGAGGCAGCAGUGAGGAAGAUUGGUCAAUGGGCGCGAGCCUGAACCAGCCAAGUCGCGUGAAGGAUGACUGUCUUAUGGAUUGUAAACUUCUUUUAGACGGGAAUAACAAGAGUCACGGGUGACUCCCUGCAUGUACCGUAUGAAUAAGCAUCGGCUAACUCCGUG